UACGAAGGGGGCUAGCGUUGCUCGAAAUCACUGGGCGUAAAGCGCACGUAGGCGGAUUGUUAAGUCGGGGGUGAAAUCCUGGAGCUCAACUCCAGAACUGCCUUCGAUACUGGCGAUCUCGAGUCCGGGAGAGGUGAGUGGAACUCCGAGUGUAGAGGUGAAAUUCGUAGAUAUUCGGAAGAACACCAGUGGCGAAGGCGGCUCACUGGCCCGGUACUGACGCUGAGGUGCGAAAGCGUGGGGAGCGAACAGG
rnacentral:rRNA from 1 species